UACGUAGGGCGCAAGCGUUGUCCGGAAUUAUUGGGCGUAAAGAGCUCGUAGGCGGCUUGUCGCGUCGGUUGUGAAAGCCCGGGGCUUAACCCCGGGUCUGCAGUCGAUACGGGCAGGCUAGAGUUCGGUAGGGGAGAUCGGAAUUCCUGGUGUAGCGGUGAAAUGCGCAGAUAUCAGGAGGAACACCGGUGGCGAAGGCGGAUCUCUGGGCCGAUACUGACGCUGAGGAGCGAAAGCGUGGGGAGCAAACCGG
rnacentral:rRNA from 1 species